rnacentral:snRNA from 1 species
AGCUUAGCACAGUGACUAUGUUGUAACCAAUGUUGUUAAUCUGAGGUGCAAUUAUUGCUAAUUAAAAACUUUCCCCAAAAUAUAUUAUGCUAGUUUGAGUGCCAAGUAUUGCUGUGCUCCAGAAGAGACAUUUUUAAAGGCAUGGAUGUGUG